rnacentral:rRNA from 1 species
AUUGAACGCUGGCGGCAGGCCUAACACAUGCAAGUCGAGCGGUAGAGAGAAGCUUGCUUCUCUUGAGAGCGGCGGACGGGUGAGUAAUGCCUAGGAAUCUGCCUGGUAGUGGGGGAUAACGUUCGGAAACGGACGCUAAUACCGCAUACGUCCUACGGGAGAAAGCAGGGGACCUUCGGGCCUUGCGCUAUCAGAUGAGCCUAGGUCGGAUUAGCUAGUUGGUGAGGUAAUGGCUCACCAAGGCAACGAUCCGUAACUGGUCUGAGAGGAUGAUCAGUCACACUGGAACUGAGACACGGUCCAGACUCCUACGGGAGGCAGCAGUGGGGAAUAUUGGACAAUGGGCGAAAGCCUGAUCCAGCCAUGCCGCGUGUGUGAAGAAGGUCUUCGGAUUGUAAAGCACUUUAAGUUGGGAGGAAGGGCAUUAACCUAAUACGUUAGUGUUUUGACGUUACCGACAGAAUAAGCACCGGCUAACUCUGUGC